UUCUGAAUAAAUGCUCAGAAUCU
rnacentral:snRNA from 1 species